UUUAGGAUUGAAGUUUUCGGAUGGAUUUCCUAUGUGACUGAGUGGCGGACGGGUGAGUAACGCGUGGGGAACCUGCCCUAUACAGGGGGAUAACAGCUGGAAACGGCUGCUAAUACCGCAUAAGCGCACAGAAUCGCAUGAUUCAGUGUGAAAAGCCCUGGCAGUAUAGGAUGGUCCCGCGUCUGAUUAGCUGGUUGGUGAGGUAACGGCUUACCAAGGCGACGAUCAGUAGCCGGCUUGAGAGAGUGAACGGCCACAUUGGGACUGAGACACGGCCCAAACUCCUACGGGAGGCAGCAGUGGGGAAUAUUGCACAAUGGGGGAAACCCUGAUGCAGCGACGCCGCGUGAGUGAAGAAGUAUUUCGGUAUGUAAAGCUCUAUCAGCAGGGAAGAAAACAGACGGUACCUGACUAAGAAGCCCCGGCUAACUACGUGCCAGCAGCCGCGGUAAUACGUAGGGGGCAAGCGUUAUCCGGAAUUACUGGGUGUAAAGGGUGCGUAGGUGGCAUGGUAAGUCAGAAGUGAAAGCCCGGGGCUUAACCCCGGGACUGCUUUUGAAACUGUCAUGCUGGAGUGCAGGAGAGGUAAGCGGAAUUCCUAGUGUAGCGGUGAAAUGCGUAGAUAUUAGGAGGAACACCAGUGGCGAAGGC
rnacentral:rRNA from 1 species